rnacentral:rRNA from 1 species
GACGAACGCUGGCGGCGUGCUUAACACAUGCAAGUCGAACGGAAAGGCCCUGCUUUUGUGGGGUGCUCGAGUGGCGAACGGGUGAGUAACACGUGAGUAACCUGCCCUUGACUUUGGGAUAACGUCAGGAAACUGGGGCUAAUACCGGAUAUGAGCUCCUGCUGCAUGGUGGGGGUUGGAAAGUUUCGGCGGUUGGGGAUGGACUCGCGGCUUAUCAGCUUGUUGGUGGGGUAGUGGCUUACCAAGGCUUUGACGGGUAGCCGGCCUGAGAGGGUGACCGGCCACAUUGGGAAUGAGAUAAGGCCAAGACUCCUACGGGAGGCAGCAGUGGGGAAUAUUGCACAAUGGGCGGAAGCCUGAGGCAGCAACGCCGGGUGCGGGAUGACGGCCUUCGGGUUGUAAACCGCUUUCGCCUGUGACGAAGCGUGAGUGACGGUAAUGGGUAAAGAAGCACCGGCUAACUACGUG